ACAAAUAUUUAGCAGAGUGCCUGGCACAUAAUAGUUGCUCAAUGAGUAACAUUUAGUAUUAUUAUUGUAGAAAAAGAAAAUGAGAAAGAAAAAGUGAGAGAAAAGAAAGAAGUGAAAGAAAAUUGUUGUAGACAGAGUGAUCAAGGAAGGAUUUAUAAAGGAGGUUUGUAUUUUGUAGAAAUGAGAAACUGAUUACAUCUGCUUAUUUGGACAGUGAAUGGAACCACAUAUUCUGCCUGUUGGCAAACACCAAAUCUGUAUAGUUUAUUUUCUUCAAAGGGAAUCAUGAUUGCCAACAAUCACUCAGCACCAACAAUUUACUGAAUGUUUAUCUGCCUGCAUUCUUCUUGUGGCUGGAAAUGUAGCAGUGAACCAGACCGAGACCCUGAUCCGCUGGGUAUAUAGCUGGGGGAGUCAGACAUUCAUGAAAAUGACUUCUAGUGCCACAGAUAUUUCAAAAGAUGCAGUAAAGAGUUCUGUGGGUCUGAAUGAUAUGGUGUGCUAACCAAAUAUGUGAAGGUGGCGAAGGUCUCCUAGAAGAAUUGGUGCAAAACUUGAGUCUCAAAGGAUGAGCUGGGUGAGGAGUUGGGCACAGUAUUCUGGGCAGUGGGAACAUCAUGGACAGAAGCCUGAAUGCAGCGGAGAGACUGACUCACUUGUGGGCAUGAAGGAGAUCAGCAUGACUGGAUUGGAGCUCACUUCCUGGUGUUUUCACCUCAUUGCAUCCCUGGUUGGUUUCUGUUGCUUGCAAUGAAAGAACCCUUACAAAUGCAAUAAUGCAGAAGUAACAAUGAAGAUGACACUGAUUCACACAAGAUUUAAUUUGUUACAUGAGUAAAUAAACAAAGCAAAAUGAACAGAAUUUACUAUACUGCAUCCCUGCUGGGAGUAUGUUGAGCUAUCUGGCCUGGAAGGCCUUUGUGACCUGUUGAAAGAAUAUACAUGGAUUUACUUCAGGAGAAAAAUAAAGUGUUAUUUUAAAAAUGGAUCAUGUUCAUUGUAAUUAAGAAUAAAG
rnacentral:lncRNA from 1 species